AUUGAACGCUGGCGGCAUGCUUUACACAUGCAAGUCGAACGGCAGCACAGGGAGCUUGCUCCCGGGUGGCGAGUGGCGCACGGGUGAGUAAUACAUCGGAACGUGUCCUGUUGUGGGGGGAUAACUGCUCGAAAGGGUGGCUAAUACCGCGUAAUAUCGAAAGAUUAAAGUGUGGGACCUUCGGGCCACAUGCCAUAGGAUGAGCCCAAGUGGGAUUAGGUAGUUGGUGAGGUAAAGGCUCACCAAGCCGACGAUCUCUAGCUGGUCUGAGAGGAUGACCAGCCACACUGGGACUGAGACACGGCCCAGACUCCUACGGGAGGCAGCAGUGGGGAAUAUUGCACAAUGGGGGAAACCCUGAUGCAGCGACGCCGCGUGGAGGAAGAAGGUCUUCGGAUUGUAAACUCCUGUUGUUGAGGAAGAUAAUGACGGUACUCAACAAGGAAGUGACGGCUAACUACGUG
rnacentral:rRNA from 1 species